rnacentral:rRNA from 1 species
AGUGAACGCUGGCGGUAGGCCUAACACAUGCAAGUCGAACGGCAGCACAGUAAGAGCUUGCUCUUACGGGUGGCGAGUGGCGGACGAGUGAGGAAUACAUCGGAAUCUACUUUUUCGUGGGGGAUAACGUAGGGAAACUUACGCUAAUACCGCAUACGACCUACGGGUGAAAGCAGGGGAGCUUCGGACCUUGCGCGAUUGAAUGAGCCGAUGUCGGAUUAGCUAGUUGGCGGGGUAAAGGCCCACCAAGGCGACGAUCCGUAGCUGGUCUGAGAGGAUGAUCAGCCACACUGGAACUGAGACACGGUCCAGACUCCUACGGGAGGCAGCAGUGGGGAAUAUUGGACAAUGGGCGCAAGCCUGAUCCAGCCAUACCGCGUGGGUGAAGAAGGCCUUCGGGUUGUAAAGCCCUUUUGUUGGGAAAGAAAAGCAGCAGGUUAAUACCCCGCUGUUCUGACGGUACCCAAAGAAUAAGCACCGGCUAACUUCGUG